GAUCUGUUCUCUGUGUUGAAGGAUGCAGGAACAGAGACCAGACUCUCCUGGACCCAGCUGUGUGUCCAUGAAGAGUGACUGGUCUAUGGGUCGCCUUAUUAGCUUUAAAGAUGGACGUCCUGCUGAUGGAAGGAUGAUGAGACAGAGACCAGACUCUCCUGGACCCAGCUGUGUG